UGAAUACGAGACGCUAAGGCGUCGAAGUAGUGUAUGUCAUACUUCCAAGAAAAGCUUGCACUGUCAUAGAUAAAAAACGCCUGUACCAUAACCGACACAGGUGGGUAGGUAGAGUAUACUAAGGGGCGCGAGAUAACUCUCUCUAAGGAACUCGGCAAAAUAACUCCGUAACUUCGGGAGAAGGAGUGCCUUAUUCGUAAGGUUGCAAUAACAAGAUCCAAGCAACUGUUUAUCAAAAACACAGGUCUCCGCUAAGUCGUAAGACGAUGUAUGGGGGCUGACGCCUGCCCAGUGCCAGAAGGUUAAAGAAGUUGGUUAGCAAUUGCGAAGCUGAUAACUGAAGCCCUGGUGAACGGCGGCCGUAACUAUAACGGUCCUAAGGUAGCGAAAUUCCUUGUCGGGUAAGUUCCGACCCGCACGAAAGGCGUAAUGAUUUGGAUACUGUCUCGGAGAGGGGCUCGGUGAAAUAGACUUGUCUGUGAAGAUGCGGACUACCUGCACCAGGACAGAAAGACCCUAUGAAGCUUUACUGUAACUUGAAAUUGAAAUUGGACUUUAUUCGCGCAGUAUAGGUGGGAGGCGUUGAUUAUAAUCUUGUGGGAUUAUUGGAGCCAUCAGUGAGAUACCACUCUUGUAAUGUUAGAUUUCUAACUUUGAAUCAUUAUCUGGUCAAAGAACAGUUUCAGGCGGGCAGUUUGACUGGGGCGGUCGCCUCCUAAACGGUAACGGAGGCGUACAAAGGUUUCCUCUGAACGGUUAGAAAUCGUAUCUAGAGUGUAAAGGCAUAAGGAAGCUUGACUGUGAGACCUACAAGUCGAGCAGGGACGAAAGUCGGUCUUAGUGAUCUGACGGUACUGAGUGGAAAGGCCGUCACUCAACGGAUAAAAGUUACUCUAAGGAUAACAGGCUGAUCUCCCCCAAGAGUUCACAUCGACGGGGAGGUUUGGCACCUCGAUGUCGGCUCAUCGCAUCCUGGGGCGGUAGUACGUCCCAAGGGUUGGGCUGUUCGCCCAUGAAAGCGGUACGCGAGCUGGGUUCAGAACGUCGUGAGACAGUUCGGUCCAUAUCCGGUGUAGGCGUUAGAAUAUUGAGAGGAGCCUUCUUUAGUACGAGAGGACCGAGAAGGACAUACCUCUGGUGUACCAGUUAUCGUGCCAACGGUAAACGCUGGGUAGCUAUGUAUGGAGUGGAUAACCGCUGAAAGCAUCUAAGUGGGAAGCCCACCUCAAGAUAAGUAUUCAC
rnacentral:rRNA from 1 species